UAGAGUUUGAUCCUGGCUCAGGAUGAACGCUAGCGACAGGCUUAACACAUGCAAGUCGAGGGGCAGCGGUGGUGAAGGCUUGCCUUUACCAGCCGGCGACCGGCGCACGGGUGAGUAACACGUAUGCAACCUGCCUGCCACAGCCGGAUAAUCGGGAGAAAUUCCGUCUAAUACGGCAUAAUGCACCUAUGGGACAUCCUGUUGGUGCCAAAGGUUGAUUCCGGUGGCGGAUGGGCAUGCGUCGCAUUAGUUAGUUGGCGGUGUAACGGACCACCAAGACGACGAUGCGUAGGGGUUCUGAGAGGAAGGUCCCCCACACUGGUACUGAGACACGGACCAGACUCCUACGGGAGGCAGCAGUGAGGAAUAUUGGUCAAUGGGCGGGAGCCUGAACCAGCCAAGUCGCGUGAGGGAUGACGGCCCUAUGGGUUGUAAACCUCUUUUGCCGGGGAGCAAAGUGCCGCACGUGUGCGGUUUGGAGAGUACCCGGAGAAAAAGCAUCGGCUAACUCCGUGCCAGCAGCCGCGGUAAUACGGAGGAUGCGAGCGUUAUCCGGAUUUAUUGGGUUUAAAGGGUGCGUAGGCGGACGCUUAAGUCAGCGGUAAAAUUGCGGGGCUCAACCUCGUCGAGCCGUUGAAACUGGGUGCCUUGAGUGGGCGAGAAGUACGCGGAAUGCGUGGUGUAGCGGUGAAAUGCAUAGAUAUCACGCAGAACUCCGAUUGCGAAGGCAGCGUACCGGCGCCCAACUGACGCUGAAGCACGAAGGCGUGGGUAUCGAACAGGAUUAGAUACCCUGGUAGUCCACGCAGUAAACGAUGAAUGCUAGUUGUCCGGGGCGAUUGAGUUCUGGGUGACACAGCGAAAGCGUUAAGCAUUCCACCUGGGGAGUACGCCGGCAACGGUGAAACUCAAAGGAAUUGACGGGGGCCCGCACAAGCGGAGGAACAUGUGGUUUAAUUCGAUGAUACGCGAGGAACCUUACCCGGGCUCAAACGCAGGAGGGAUGUUUUUGAAAGGAGGCAGCCAGCAAUGGUCUCCUGCGAGGUGCUGCAUGGUUGUCGUCAGCUCGUGCCGUGAGGUGUCGGCUUAAGUGCCAUAACGAGCGCAACCCCUACCUACAGUUGCCAUCGCGUGAUGGCGGGCACUCUGUGGGGACUGCCUGCGCAAGCAGUGAGGAAGGCGGGGAUGACGUCAAAUCAGCACGGCCCUUACGUCCGGGGCGACACACGUGUUACAAUGGCAGGUACAGCGGGAAGCCACCCGGCGACGGGGCGCGGAACCCGAAAACCUGUCUCAGUUCGGAUUGGAGUCUGCAACCCGACUCCAUGAAGCUGGAUUCGCUAGUAAUCGCGCAUCAGCCACGGCGCGGUGAAUACGUUCCCGGGCCUUGCACUCACCGCCCGUCA
rnacentral:rRNA from 1 species